rnacentral:rRNA from 1 species
AGUGAACGCUGGCGGCAGGCCUAAUACAUGCAAGUCGAACGGAAGCACAGUAAGAGCUCGCCCCUACGGGUGGCGAGUGGCGGGCGGGUGAGGAAUACAUAGGAAUCUACUUUUACGUGGGGGACUACGGAGGGCAACAGAUGAUAAUACAGCAUAUGAUGUACGGGUGAAAGCAGGAGAUCUUCGGACCUUGCGCGUCUGUAUGAGACGAUGUCGGAUUAGCUAGUUGGCGAGGUAAAGGCCCACCAAGGCAACGAUCCGUAGCUGGCCUGAGAGGAUGAUCAGCCACACUGGAACUGAGACACGGUCCAGACUCCUACGGGAGGCAGCAGUAGGGAAUAUUGGGCAAUGGGCGAAAGCCUGACCCAGCCAUGCCGCGUGAGUGAUGAAGGUCUUCGGAUUGUAAAACCCUGUUAUUGGGGAAGAAAAGCAGCAGAUGUAUCUCCCGCUAUUCUGACGGUACCCAAAGAGAAAGCCCCGGCUAACUUCGUG